CCACAAACACAAUUUCUUUCCUCCGCUAUUAUGAGUAAGUAUUAAUUGAAGAAUUUGGUGCAGGGAAUAAAGAAAGGAACAAAGGAAAAUCUAAGAAGGAAUUUGGUGUAGGGAAUUUGAUGUCAUUAUAUAUGAAUUCAAAUGAUAUAAUUAAAAUUCUAUCAUUUGAGGGGGAAUGUAAGGACUAAAAGAUACAUAUAAAGCAACGGUGACCCAAUGUCGACGACGAAAGGGCGCGGACGAUUAGG
rnacentral:lncRNA from 1 species